rnacentral:rRNA from 1 species
AUUGAACGCUGGCGGCAUGCCUUACACAUGCAAGUCGAACGGUAACAGGUCUUCGGAUGCUGACGAGUGGCGAACGGGUGAGUAAUACAUCGGAACGUGCCCGAGAGUGGGGGAUAACGGGGCGAAAGCUUUGCUAAUACCGCAUACGAUCUCAGGAUGAAAGCAGGGGACCGCAAGGCCUUGCGCUCACGGAGCGGCCGAUGGCAGAUUAGGUAGUUGGUGGGAUAAAAGCUUACCAAGCCGACGAUCUGUAGCUGGUCAGAGAGGACGACCAGCGACACUGGGACUAAGAACCGGCCCAGACCCCUACGGGAGGCAGCAGUGGGGAAUUUUGGCCAAUGGGCGCAAGCCUGAUCCAGCCAUGCCGCGUGCAGGAUGAAGGCCUUCGGGUUGUAAACUGCUUUUGUACGGAACGAAAAGACUCUGGUUAAUACCUGGGGUCCAUGACGGUACCGUAAGAAUAAGCACCGGCUAACUACGUGCCAGCAGCCGCCGUAACAC